rnacentral:rRNA from 1 species
UGGGGAAUUUUGGACAAUUGGGCGAAAGCCUGAUCCAGCAAUGCCGCGUGUGUGAAGAAGGCCUUCGGGUUGUAAAGCACUUUUGUCCGGAAAGAAAUCCUUGGCUCUAAUACAGUCGGGGGAUGACGGUACCGGAAGAAUAAGCACCGGCUAACUACGUGCCAGCAGCCGCGGUAAUACGUAGGGUGCAAGCGUUAAUCGGAAUUACUGGGCGUAAAGCGUGCGCAGGCGGUUUGCUAAGACCGAUGUGAAAUCCCCGGGCUCAACCUGGGAACUGCAUUGGUGACUGGCAGGCUAGAGUAUGGCAGAGGGGGGUAGAAUUCCACGUGUAGCAGUGAAAUGCGUAGAGAUGUGGAGGAAUACCGAUGGCGAAGGCAGCCCCCUGGGCAAUACUGACGCUCAUGCACGAAAGCGUGGGGAGCAAACAGGAUUAGAUACCCUGGUAGUCCACGCCCUAAACGAUGUCAACUAGUUGUUGGGGAUUCAUUUCCUUAGUAACGUAGCUAACGCGUGAAGUUGACCGCCUGGGGAGUACGGUCGCAAGAUUAAAACUUAAAGGAAUUGACGGGGUCAUAGCGUUUCCU